rnacentral:rRNA from 1 species
AUUGAACGCUGGCGGCAUGCUUUACACAUGCAAGUCGAACGGUAACAGGGAGCUUGCUCCGCUGACGAGUGGCGAACGGGUGAGUAAUGCAUCGGAACAUGCCCAGUCAUGGGGGAUAACUACGCGAAAGCGUAGCUAAUACCGCAUACGCCCUGAGGGGGAAAGUGGGGGGUCUUAGGACCUCACGUGAUUGGAGUGGCCGAUGUCAGAUUAGCUAGUUGGUGAGGUAAAGGCUCACCAAGGCGACGAUCUGUAGCGGGUCUGAGAGGAUGAUCCGCCACACUGGGACUGAGACACGGCCCAGACUCCUACGGGAGGCAGCAGUGGGGAAUUUUGGACAAUGGGCGCAAGCCUGAUCCAGCCAUGCCGCGUGAGUGAAGAAGGCCUCGGUG